rnacentral:lncRNA from 1 species
AAUACAAUUCAUAAAGGCAAACUUUUCUGCACAUAUUCUAAGAAAAAAUAGCAGCACAGAUUUAAAAAGGCAAAUUAUAAAAGGAAAGUUAAGAGAUAAGAAGGCUAAAUUAAGAGGAUACAAUAUACUAUACACCUAACAGGAGUUCCAGCAGAGAAAUGAGAGAAAAAGACAAAGAAGCAUUAUCUGAAGGAAACUGGCUGAAAAUUUUCCAGAACUGAGGAAACACCUAAAUAUUUUGAUCAAAAGCAGACCCUAUGUGUUAAGUGGGAAAAAUAAAUAAAUAAAAGUUACUUGUAAACACAUUCUAGUGACACAUUAGGACACAAGAAAAAAAAUCUAUAAAAUUAUCAGAAAGUAGAGAAAACACCGAUAAAAAUAACAAUUAUUAAUGGCAACAAGAGAUGACGGAAGAAAUUUAAUUAUAAUGUUAUAACUAUAACUUUAAAAUACUAAAAAAGCUAGUACUCCAUACACUAUAGUACCAUUUAAGAGAUGAAGUAAAAUAAAGACAUUUUCAUAUAUGUAAAGAUUAUAAAGAUUUAUAAUCUCAUUGAAUACACUAAAAAACAAAUUUCAACAAGAAGAAAAAUGAACACAGAGAGGAGUGAGAUGCAAGAAAUAAAAGCAAGCAGAGGAGUUUCUGUGUGACUCAGUGGGUUAAGGAUCCAGCAUUGUCACUGCUAUGGCUUGGGUCACUGCUGUGACACAGGUAAAAAGAAAAGAAAUUAAAGAAAAGCAAGCAGAGGAGUUUCCACUUGACACAAUGGGAUUGGCGGCGACUCUGUAGUACCAAGAUGCAGGUUGGAUCCCCAGCCUGGCACAGUGGGUUAAACAAUCCAGCAUUGCUGCAACUGCAGCUCGGAACUAAUCCCUGGCCCAGGAACUCCAUAUGCCACAGUGCAGCCAAAAAAAAACAAAAAAAACAAAAAAAAAAAAAAGAGAGAGAGAUAGAAAAGAAGAGCAAUCAGAACAAAAGGUAAAAUACUUUAAGAAAUAUAAUUAAUAACUGAAAAACAAUUUUUAGGAACUGAAUUUUCAGUUAAUCAAAAACGAUACAUCAUAACUUACUUGACAUAUGUGUAUAUCAACUACAUGUAUUUGCAUAUGUAAAAUAUUAUAAAACAAAAUUUUUCAAUUUAAAGAAUAAACACAGAAAUAUGGUUCUGGAUAACUAUUCCAAAAAAGAUGGGAGGUAGAAAAUUGCUGCAUAAUUUAAGCAUUCUGAGGUAUUUUUCUCCUAUGAGAAAAAGAAAGAAAUAUUUCAUAUCUUCAAGUUUUGUAAGAAGAAUAUAGAGUUAAAAUAUUUGACAAGAACAUAAGGGCUAAUGCAAAAGAACAGAAAUAAUGAUCUACAGCUUUCAAAUCAGCAGAAGAAAGGGGAAAAUGGGGAGAAAAUAUAAACUUCUUCAGUCCAACAGAAAGCAAGAAAGACGCGGAAGGAAAAGAAAAGAACCUAAGAAAAACUAAGAAAGAAAAUAACAAAAUAAGAUGCCCAUAGGUAUUAAAAUAAGUCCAAACACAUUAUUUCUCAAAUGCAAAGUAAUUAAGCUUUAGCAAAUUUAAAUAAACUAUCAGAUUAGAUUUUAAAAAUCCAGCUCUCAGCUGCUCUCAAGAGACAAAACUAAAUGACUAGGACAUCUAAAAGAAAAAGACACUAAAAAAAGGGCAUCUAGUCAAACACUAAACAAAGAUACCUGGUAUAGAGAGAACAGCUAAUAUCAGGCAAAUAAAAUUCAAGGGGAAAGGACGUUGCUAUAGGAAAAUAUUACCUUUGAACCAGAGGACAUCUGAUCUGGUGAUAUUACGCUGGGUGAACCUUACUCUAGAUCCUGGGCUUCUGUCAAGGAGAACUGGAACCAGCACUCAAGCCUAUAAACUACAUGAAGACAUGGCGGGCAUCUGGGCUGCUCACCACUGCAUCGCCACUCUAUGUACACAUGCUGCAUGGCCCAGUGUCUGGUGCAUACCAGAAGUUCAGUAUGGAUGUUGAACUAUAAAUGUGGCAGAGAAACUGCACCUCUGUACCCUCAGAGGAAAAACACGGUGAAGAAAUUCUGGUUUACGAUUGCACAUAUCACCUCCUCCAGCUCUGAACAGCAGUUGCCCCCCUUCAUUCUCCCUUCUCUCCCACCCUAACAUGUUCCCAAUACUCUCAACUUUGUUGAUGCAGCCAUGCAGAAGAUCAGAAAAUUCCAUAUAAAAAUAUCUGAGGUUGAGGAUCACGGAGCAGAACACAGGAACUAAGCCUCCAGAGUCCACUCCUAGGAUAGGCAGCUGCGAAUGAGUUUCCACGGGAAACUAAAAUUACUAAACGAAGAUCAAUCAUUUUAACAUGGUACUUCUCAGGCAAGACAUUCUAGGUUGUCUUUCACUCUAAAAUAUCGGGGGAAAUGGAGUUCCUUCUGUGGUGCAAAGGGGUUGGUGGCAUCUCUGCAGCGCCAGGACACAGGUUCUAUCCCUGGACUGGUACAGUG